GAGAGCUCUCAUUUUCCCCCCUUGCUCGGGAUGGUGCCACAGGAGGCUGUGCGGGCCCCGCUCCGCUUCGAAUGGAUAACCCUCCUUCCUCCACCUCACAAAAACUCACAAGCUGCAACCCUUCUGAUGUCCACUCCCACACAAACCAGCUUCAGGCCUUUUUCAAGUGGAUGCUGUGGGGCACCACCUCCUUGAGGACCAAGGCACUCCAGCUGCCAGGAAUUUGGCUGCUAACCUCACACAGCUGAGCCUUCCAUGAAAAUUGCUCUCUGCCAAAGAGAACUUCCUAGUCCAAGGUCAUGUCUACUCUCCAGAGAUGUGACUGGAGUGAUUUGCACCCGGAUGCCUAGACUCGCCAUCUGCUCAAAGACUGCUCAGAAAGCCCUCCCAUGCAUUCCCCUGCUGCAUACCAGCCCACUCUGCCUGCAGCUGCUGUCUGCAGGACUUCAUAUCUAUGCCACACUGUGUAAAAGCUGUGCUUCAAGAAAUCACAAAAACAUUUUCCUGCACCUACUACACAGCCUGAGUGCGGCAUAAGUUGACCUUGCUUGCUAAGAAAUGGGGCAAGAAAUGCUUUUUUGUGUGUGUCAUGUCUGUUUGUUUUUCAAUUAAGAGAGGAAAGCAUUAGGCAGAUGGAAUGUACAUGUGAGGAUGAGGAGACAGAAAACAAGUAGCCCUUUCCAUCAAGAUAGAGGGUUUUCUGGGGUUGCUGGCUAUUGAAUGUCACUCCUGAUUUCUCUUUCCAAGGCACUGUACCACCAGCCUACUGAGAUUGUGUGGGAGCUUUCAUGGGGGUUGUAUUUCACUGAUGAAAAUAAAUUUUUUGCAUAAUGUGAAUGUUUAUGUUUCUUUAUAGAAUAGACUUAGUUUAGCAAUAAGCUAAUAAUACUGACGUAACUCUAAUUCUCUGGGGAAAAAAUUUGCUCCCCCACCUUCCAUUCCUGCAACAUCAUCAAAG
rnacentral:lncRNA from 1 species